rnacentral:rRNA from 1 species
UACGGGGGGAGCAAGCGUUGUUCGGAUUCAUUGGGCGUAAAGGGUGCGUAGGCGGCGCGGUAAGUCGGGUGUGAAAUCUCGGAGCUUAACUCCGAAACUGCAUUCGAUACUGCCUUGCUCGAGGACUCGAGAGGAGAUUGGAAUUCACGGUGUAGCAGUGAAAUGCGUAGAGAUUUGGAGGAACACCAGUGGCGAAGGCGGGUCUCUGGACAGUUCCUGACGCUGAGGCACGAAGGUCAGGGGAGCAAACGGG